rnacentral:rRNA from 1 species
UACGUAGGGGGCAAGCGUUAUCCGGAUUUACUGGGUGUAAAGGGAGCGUAGGUGGUUCGGCAAGUCAGAUGUGAAAGCCCGGGGCUCAACCCCGGGACUGCAUUUGAAACUGUCGGACUAGAGUGCAGGAGAGGUAAGUGGAAUUCCUAGUGUAGCGGUGAAAUGCGUAGAUAUUAGGAGGAACACCAGUGGCGAAGGCGGCUUACUGGACUGUAACUGACACUGAGGCUCGAAAGCGUGGGGAGCAAACAGG